CAUAAUUUUAAGGCAUACUGGGAGUUAUCUGCUUGAAUUUAUUUUCCUCCCAUUAAAAAAAAUACUCAUAAAUUGCAUCUGAUAAAAGGGGGUGUUUAUAUCUUUUCAAAGAACCUGGGUCUAAGCAACAUUAAAAAAAAAAAGGAUGAAAAAAAGGAUGAAAUGAUUCAAUGGUCACCUGAGUUCUUCCAACAACAAACACGUGGUCAUUUUCUUUCUUGUUCUCUUUGGUCCCACAGUUCAUAAACAGCAGGUGAAGAUAAGGUUUUAUGGCUGGGAGGGACCUUGGACGCAUCGAGGCUCGUGUUCUACCCUCCCAAGGCUGACGUCAUCAUCCUCACUCUCGUUACUCACCACUCUCGUCGUUCAGUGUAACAGGCAGCCCCAAAUAACCUCUGUCUCUGAAGCUGCCAUCAUUUUCUGGCUUUAACGGGGACCUCUGUUUAUUGGCCCUCAAGAAAGGGAAGGGGAGGGUAUGGGGCAGGGAUAAAGAGCAGUUUCAUCUGAAUCUGGGAGGGUCCCAAACCACCAGUGGGGGUGAGGUGAACCCUAAUCCCCUCUGCCUUUCAGGACUGCACACCUAAGUCUUCGAGGCAGACAGCCCAGUGAGGGCGCCAGACAAAGGAGGCUACGGUCUUUUACAUGAUCAGAUGGGCUCCCAUCUCUAAGAAAGGGAGAAGGGGUGGCGGGGGUGGAGUAGGGUGGCAGAGCUAAUUCAAUUUAGAUAUUAUGAUGACCUAGGACAGUUUCUCCAAGUACUUCCAGAGGUAUUUUGUAAUUUUGUAACUGUCCUGCAAUAUUUGUUAUUUUUCCCAAUCCCUAUCUAUUUCUCAAGUUACUCUGCUUAAAAAUUCUUGAGAACAAUCAGGGGCUUGUGUGCUUCUUUUUGCAGCAGGGGGACGGGACUCUGGCUGGUGUGCAUAUUAUUUUGCAACCGGGGCUGAGGGAUGGAGAGAGAAAGCCAGGAGGGAGGGGAGAUGAGGGCAGGCAAGGUGAGCUAGCUGAUCAUGACCUAGGAGGAAGGGAGGAGCCAAGGAGUCCCCAGGAAGAGGAAGUGGGCCCGGGGCCGGGGGAAGAUGGCCGGGCUCAGAUGGCCGGGCUCUUGCCCAACAUGGGCAGCGCAUGGAUUGCAAGAAUGCUGUCUCAAUGUGGAGAGACCCUAAACACCAGCAGGCUCAGGGUUCUGCCUAAAUUGGGGCCAAGAGGCCCUCCUCUGACAGAGUGGCUCUGGAUCCCUCUCAAAAAAAGUCCCAAUUUCUCCCCUGGAGCCUGGUCAGAGGAAAUAAAUCAUCCAAUGAUAUGUUUGCAAUCUCUCACACUCCUGGCCACUAGCCCCCUGCCCUAAUCACCCCAGGGCCAGGUAUCAGACAGCCAGGGACAGCCCCACGCCCCAGAACCUGGAGAAAUUAUUCAAGCUAUAAAUACCAAGCUGGCUUCCUCUGUCUCAGCCAGUCCUUCCAAGGAAACCACCUUAGAGACCCUCAGCUUUGUUUUCCGAUUACUCCUGCCUCCCGACCACCCCCCAUCCGCAGCCUGUAUGGGGACAUGAUGUGUCCCUUUCCUCUGGAUCUGUGAGUAACAAACGAUCUUUUC
rnacentral:lncRNA from 1 species